rnacentral:rRNA from 2 species
UGCAGUCGAGCGGACAGAUGGGAGCUUGCUCCCUGAUGUUAGCGGCGGACGGGUGAGUAACACGUGGGUAACCUGCCUGUAAGACUGGGAUAACUCCGGGAAACCGGGGCUAAUACCGGAUGGUUGUUUGAACCGCAUGGUUCAAACAUAAAAGGUGGCUUUGGCUACCACUUACAGAUGGACCCGCGGCGCAUUAGCUAGUUGGUGAGGUAACGGCUCACCAAGGCGACGAUGCGUAGCCGACCUGAGAGGGUGAUCGGCCACACUGGGACUGAGACACGGCCCAGACUCCUACGGGAGGCAGCAGUAGGGAAUCUUCCGCAAUGGACGAAAGUCUGACGGAGCAACGCCGCGUGAGUGAUGAAGGUUUUCGGAUCGUAAAGCUCUGUUGUUAGGGAAGAACAAGUACCGUUCGAAUAGGGCGGUACCUUGACGGUACCUAACCAGAAAGCCACGGCUAACUACGUGCCAGCAGCCGCGGUAAUACGUAGGUGGCAAGCGUUGUCCGGAAUUAUUGGGCGUAAAGGGCUCGCAGGCGGUUUCUUAAGUCUGAUGUGAAAGCCCCCGGCUCAACCGGGGAGGGUCAUUGGAAACUGGGGAACUUGAGUGGANAAAANGAGAGUGGAAUUCCACGUGGAGCGGUGAAAUGCAUACAGAUGUNGAGGAACACCCCUGCCGAGA